rnacentral:rRNA from 1 species
GACGAACGCUGGCGGCGUGCUUAACACAUGCAAGUCGAACGGAAAGGCCCUGCUUUUGUGGGGUGCUCGAGUGGCGAACGGGUGAGUAACACGUGAGUAACCUGCCCUUGACUUUGGGAUAACUUCAGGAAACUGGGGCUAAUACCGGAUAGGAGCUCCUGCUGCAUGGUGGGGGUUGGAAAGUUUCGGCGGUUGGGGGUGGACUCGCGGCUUAUCAGCUUGUUGGUGGGGUAGUGGCUUACCAAGGCUUUGACGGGUAGCCGGCCUGAGAGGGUGACCGGCCACGUUGGGACUGAACUGCGGCACAGCCUACUACGGGAGGCAGCAGUGGAGAAUAUUGCACAAUGGGAGGAAGCCUGAUGCAGCAAAGCAGCGUGCGGGAUGACGGCCUUCGGGUUGUAAACCGCUUUCGCCUGUGACGAAGCGUGAGUGACGGUAAUGGGUAAAGAAGCACCGGCUAACUACGUG